CCCAUCUUCACUACCUCAUUGAAUGAUUUACCCACAGAAGUCACUAAGUGACCGAAGUAUGUAGGUUCCAACGUUUGUAGAAAAUAAUCUACCAUCUCGUUUUCCCUCAUUGGGGAUCCACUCUUGCAGCUUGCUCUCUCCAUCAAAACCCAAACUCUUUAAAACUUUCUCCUGGCUUCUUCUCAAACUUCAGCAAUGACAGCCGAUCAGGGACUAUCUC
rnacentral:lncRNA from 1 species